ensembl:lncRNA
CCCCGGAGGAGGGCGCAGGGAGCUGUCCCUUGCAGCAACUGGUGCAUCUUGUUUCGGAUGGUACUCUGGGUACAGGUGAGCCAGUCUGCCCAUCAAUAAAGGUGGCUGCCAGUGAAUAGGUGCUUAGACAAAAGAAGUGGGAGAGGGUGGAGACUGUUUGUUCAGUGUGAUUCAAGCAAGCAGUGCUAAUAGAAUUUGAAAGCCUCUGUGAAGUCCCUGAGUCUGGGUACGGGCGGUCCGGCGGGAUUCACCUGAGGCCUUUCAGACUCGCUGAGGGCGGGUGGUCCUGAUGGGGGUGAGAAAGCCCAGGCAAAAGCCCCACAUUCUUUGUCAGCCGGCCAGACAGGCGGAGAAAAGGUCUCAGUGGGGGUAAUUAGAUAAAGCUUUUAAAUGGCUCUAUUUGUUUUUUCCCCUGGCUGGUUUGAUAUCUCAUCUCUUCUCCCGCCUCUUUCAGAAGCUGCUGGUAAGACGGUCCUAAGAAUGUUGGAGGCUGUUAGUGGUUUCGUUACUUGGGACAUUUCAUUUUUCGUUAGGGCGGACCCUGGACAAAGUGAACUUAACCCUGCUUUUGUGGAGGCCUUGAACAAAGAUUUGAAUUUUAUCCUCAGAGCGGGAGCGGCACAGUGUGAGGGCUGGGUGGGUGUAUUAACCCAUUUUCCAGCUGUGCCAGCCUCCACCCUGUGGCUGGUAAUAAAUCAAGCCCAGGACCCAGAACUCCCAGCUCCAGCCUCACUCCAAACAACACCUGCUUUUUCAAGUCAGCUUGGCCUCAGAAGACAGAGCAUCAAAUAUACAGGGCCUGUUUAUCUGUGUGUGUGUGCUUUUUAAAUGAGACCAGAUCCUUUGACAAUAAUUGAAUGCGAAGAUGUAAGGCAAUUAAAAAAAGAAACUUUUCUAGCCUUUGGCAGCAUUUUUCUUGAUGAACAUGAUUAUAGACAUUUUUUUCCCGUAGGUUUUCUACCUCGUGAGAUCAUUGUAAGGAUAAAAUAAAUGUUUCAGAAAGUCAAAAUCUAUAUAUGGAAGAAAGUAGUGUAUUUUGAGCUCAGGAAGCUUUGUGGGUAUCCACUCUGGAUUUCCUUUCCAGAAUUGUGCACAGCUCCAGUACUCAGGCAGAGUUUAUGUUUGCUUCGAGUGCCCAGAGACAAACAGGCCAGCACAUUAUUCUUCGUGAAGUUUACUUGUGUGCUUAGUUGCUCAGUAGUGUCUGACCUUUGUGACCCCAUGGAUUGUAGCCCGCCAGGUUCCUCUGUCCAUGGGAUCUUCCAGGCAAGAAUACUGGAGUUGGUUGCCUUUUGCUUCUCUCCGGGAUCUUCCUGACCCGGGGAUGGAACCCGUGUCUCCUGCAGUGCAGAUGGAUUCUUUACCUGCUGAGCCAUCACUCAGGGAUGAAUUUUAAGGGACAGGCAGGUGGUAAGCUUUGGGUGCACUCUUUAGAGCAGUGGCUCUCAGCUUGGUGGUUCUCCCCACCGCCCUGGCGCAGGGGGUGCCUGGCAACUGUCUGGAGACCCUGAUUGCCUUGCUAGGGGAGGGGAUGCACCGGCCUUCAGUGGGUCCAGGCCAAGGAUACUGCUGCUCUUCCCACAAUGCACUGGGAAGCCCUGCAACAAAGGCUCAUCCAGCCCCAAAUGUCAGUAGGUGGAGGGUGAGAAAGCCUGCUUUAAAGGUCCAGGCCCGUGUGCCGUGUGCAGGCAGCCUGGUGUUCUCGCUGUGGGGCACGUGGCGUAUUUGGGGAUCUGGAAUUCCAUGGAGCGGGUAAGGUCUCCCUCCAGGACUAUAAGGUGCUGUGUUGGCAAGCCCAGGAUUUCACAGGAGAUUGGGGGUUGGGUAGGACAUUUCAGUGCCGUUCUGUAUAUUAAAAACCCCUUUAGUCAAUAAAAGUUCCAGAACGUUUCUGCUUCUAAAACAAGCCAGAUUCGUAGGUGCUGGGAAGGUGCUCUGAUAGGCGGUGCUUCUUCGCUCGUUUGGGAAACUGACUCGGGUGCUGUCAUCCGCCCCCUCCCUCAUGUUCUCAGUUGUGUGGAGGGUACCACCCCCACCCCCCUGACUGCUUUUCCCUCAGUGUUUGAACAAGCCCCUACUUGCUUGACAGUUCAUGUUUUCACCCUUGUAGUCUUGCUUAUUUAAGUUUUCUUAAGUUUUUGCAAAAUUCUUACAUAACUUUCCACCCUUGUUAAAGUGCAGUGUUGAGGGGGCGGGGCUUCUGUCCACACGUUUCCCUUCGAGCGGGCACCUGGCUGACCCCAGGGAGGGCUGGGGACGGAUCGAGGGGGGCAGAGACGGUAGUGAGUUUUAUGUUUUGGGGGCUUCCGGGCCUCAGAGACCCCAAAAGGAGGUUGGUUUGAAGGAAGAAGAAAUGUGGUAUACAAACACUAAACUGUGUUUUCCCAGACCAGACAUGUCCAAGGAGAGUGGUGGGAGCCAUCUUUAGCCACAGGUGCCACUUGCCUGACCCCUGUCCUGGUCUACCCCACCUCUCAGCUCAGAGGCAGGGGUAGGGGGGAGGUUUUGGAGCAAGAAGAAGGCAGGAAGAGAGGGGGGACGAUUCCCGAAAGGGCGGGGCGGCCUGUGGUGGGAAGUGACAGUUGCCCCCAAAACCAUCUGGGCUGGCACUUACUUAAGAGAAGCGUUGCACAUUCUGCAGGCAGCUUUCUUGACAUCCUCGUCCUGCUGACAGGCUGUCAAGGUCCCUCCUGGGCUAAUGGUGGCAGUGACCUGCCCGGAAGCCACCUUUACCACGCGGCUCCUGGGGUGGUAAGAGCCUUGCGUCUGGUGCCCCGCCGCCCCCUCCCGCACCCUGUAAACCAGCCACUGCCGCUGCCUGUCUCCACUGACAGCUUUUGCCAGGCUGAGGGUCGCCUGCAGGUGCAUCAGAGGGAACUUGCAGAGAGAAGAGUCCCUCCCCCCACUUCUGGAAGGUGAACUGAAACUCACCAUCUGCCCAGCCUUCCAGGCCAGUCCCUGACUCGGGUCUCUCCCACCCCAGCCAGACCCCCCUGGACACCCCUGUGCUGUCCAACUCCAGGGUCAGCUGCCCCGCUGUCCUGACCGAGGCUCUCCUUGGGUCACAGACACCUCCCAAGUCAAUUUCCUGGCACCUUUGUGCACCCUCCGGUUGGUGGACACUAGCCAUGCGUGGGGUUUGCCGGCCGAAAAACAUCUCUUGGCUCCCUGCUGUCUGCAGGAAGAAAUCCAAACUCGUCAACUUGGCACACGAGGGCCUCGUCGGCGGUUCCCAGACGGCCUUCCUAGUUCCAGCCCUUCCCACUCCCACUCCACGCGGCGGCCACAGUGCAGGAGCUUCUGCUUCUUCGUGGAUCACUCACUUGGCUCUGUCCCCACCCCCCCAUCUCCUUGCGAACAUUUCUUCACUCUUCUUUCAAGACCCAUCUUAAAUACCACCUUUUGCAUGGAGAAUCAGGUCCUCCAUCAGAAUAACCCUUACCCCAUCUGGCCGGUGUGUCUGUUGUAAUUUACCUGUUGGCAUGUUCUCCCCAUCUGGAGAAUAGGCAGUGACUUCAAAUCGUAUUUUUCCGUUUUCUGUACCUGGCUCAAGGGUUGCAUUUGUUGCUGUUUGUUAGCCACUCAGUCGUGUCCGACUCUUUUUCGACCCCAUGGACUGUAGCCCGCCAGGGCUCCUUCGUCCCUGGGAUUUCCCAGGCAAGAAGACUGGAGCGGGUUGCCGUUUCCUUUUCCAGGGGAUCUUGCCGACCCAGGGAUUGAACCCGCAUCUCUUGCAUUGGCAGGCAGUUCUUUACCAGUGAGCCAUCUGGGAAGCCUCAGGGGUUGUGUAGUUGAUGCUUAUUCAGUAAUUAUUGUUUAAUCCAUUUUCAAAUACAAAAAAAACAGAGUUUUUCUGAAGAGGUGAAGGUUAUUUUUGGAAAAGAGCACUAUAAUUUGAGAAGCUAAGUCCUAAAUAUCGGUACAGAUUAAGAGAAGGAAACUAAAGUUUUCCAGCAAACCCGUCUCCCAGAAAUUGGGUGCUAAGUGCACACUGGUGGGAAAGUGUUUUGAAUUACAGAAAUUUUAAAAUAAAAGUUUGCUCAGCUUAAUUUACUCAGAAUUAAAGAGAAAGAAAACGUUGUUAAUGCCUGAUUGCUCUAAAAGCUGUCACACUGGGGCCCUUACUAAUUAUAACCACUUUUCAUGGCUCUUGGUUUGAAGUUUAUAUUAAAUAGGAGAGAUGGGCACACAGAUCAAAGACCAGAAUCAUUUCAGAGCUCCAAUGUGUGGGCCCAUUUUCUCUGCUUAGUUAGAUUUUUGUUUCAUUAGUGGUAUGAGUUAAUAGGAGUGUUGGUCUGUAUAUAAUUUAACUUUUCUUUUUUGCCAUUACUGCUUGGAUUUAACACAAAAUGCCAAACCAGAAACCUACAGGGUACAGAUCUUGCUUUAUUUGAGUCUGUGUGCACACAAUAUACAUUCAUACUUACAUGAUAGAAGUUGAUUAUAGAUCAUAUUUAUAGAAAGAAUCAUUUCCACUAUUUUAUGGGAAAUUCCUUUAUGCUGAAACUUUAUUGUUAAAAAAAAAAACACAAAUACUGCGAAUACACAAAAUCAUCUCAAAAUCUUUUCUUAGCUUUUUUCUAAAAGAGGUCUUCAGAAAUAGGGGAAUAUGGAAGACAACGCAAAGAUAGGGUGAGAGAGGCAUUUUAUGGAUCCUUUUAUACCUUUAUAUUUGUAACUAUGUGGAUAGGUUUCCUUUUCAAAUAAGGAAUUAAGUUUUGUUGUUUUUUUUCACAUUAGAAGAUCUUACUAUCCUUUAUACAAGAUAAAAUCCUAGUCAAUUGAAAGUACAUUAUUGCUACCCUUAAAUAUUCCUUAAUGUCCUCACCCGAUAACGAGUUUAGGCUCAGAUCUGGCAGAUACAUUCAAAUAUAUUAGUCCAGCUUCAUCUUAUUUCUAAGGAGACGUGUAUAUUUUCCUCUCGUGUGAAAAAAGGUGUUUGUUUUUUUUUUUUUAAGCCAUUUUCUCUUUGGCUUUAGGGCUUUUGAUUGUUUGCAAGGGUAAUUACGUAAAACUGCCUAGUGAGCAUCUCAAACAGGUUUUCACAACUUAGUCAGUUAAAACUACGUUGGAUCAAACUGUUCCACUUAACAUUUUGAAGCAAGUAUAAUUUAAAGGAGGCUCAGCUCGCACACCUUAGUCUAAGUUACACUUGUUUUUAAAGUCAUGAAAAUAAAGUUUCUGGAAACUGUUUGUUGUUUGAAAGCUUACCUCUGUCCAUGGAAUUCCCCAGGCAAGAAUAUUGGAGUGAGUAGCCAUUCCCUUCUUUAGGGGAUCUUCCCAACCCAGGGUCUCCUGCAUUGCUUAGUGAAAGUCACUCAGUCCAUGGAGUUCUCCAGGUCAGAAUACUGGAGUGGGUAGCCUGUCCCUUCUCCAGCACAUCUUCCCGUCCCAGGAAUUGAACUGGGGUCUCCUGCAUUGCAGGUGGAUUCUUUACCAACCGAGCUAUCAGGCAGGCAAACUCUCACCAUUGGAGCCGCCAGGGAAGCCCCUGGUGAAGCUUUACAAUCCUGUUUUCCUAAAAUACUGCAUUGAGUUGGAUUCAGUAUCCCAUUCAGCCUCCUUUUGGAAAACAGGCACUUCCCACCCCUAAAUUUGCAAACCUCGUAGUGCUUUUUUUGUUUUUUAAACUCAUAGAUCUUUAUUUAUUCAACAAAUUUGAAUUUCAGCAAUGCGACAGCUGUGAUAAGCACCAAGGAUAUUACUAGUGUGAGGAAGAGGCAGUGGCUAGCUUCGCAGAGAUGGAAAGACACUGGACCACUGAGUGGCCUGCGUCCGGGCGGCGUGUUCGGUGCUGCAGGGGCGUGGGAUGUGUUGACGGGAUGAAGGAUGCCGAGAGGAAGGGGCGGAAGGGGCGUGCAGGGGCACGGACGGUGAUGCUGACGCCCUGAGGUUGGUGAGGAGGCCGGAGUGCGGAGAGGAGCCCACCAGGCCUAAGGACCGUGUGUGGUGCGGUGGGCGGGGCCGGAGCCGCGGCGCCUCCCUCGCAGGUAUCUGGAGUUUUCCCUGAAGAACUCUGGGAAUCCUUGCAGGGUGUCAGGCCAAGGACUGGCAUGAUGAGAUUUGCAUUUUUAAAGACCACUCCUGGCCAGAGUGGAAGCAGCAGCUCUUCCGCCUUCUGUUUGCAAGACCCUCGAGGUUAGUGGUUCGCGGCUUUGAGAAGCGGCGGCGGUGCGAACUGGCUGGCAGUAGAGGUGGGAGCCUGGGUGGCUUCGGUGGAGGUGGAGGCCGGAGGAAGGGCCGGAGGCUGGGCGACAUGAUUUUCAGGCCUCUGGCUUCCCUGCCGGCCGGCUGGUGCUGCCCCUCUCCGGGAUCAGGUUGCGGGAUAAAGCCAGGUUUAUGAACCAGGUAUGAACCAGGUAAAGGGCAGGGUUCCCUGCCCUUUAAAGAAGUGAUGUGUUUGAACUUUAUCACCGUUUUCUCUACUUGGACUGUUUUCAUGGGUUAAAACGUUAAUGUACCUGGCGUGGGUGACUCUCAGAAAGGACUUCUAUAAAAAUGAGAGACAGAAGUGAGGCUCUUACCUAUGGCUGCCUCCUCCCCUCCCCUCCCUCCUCUUCUUUCCUUUUUCUCCUUUUUAAUUUCCUGAGGCCAAAAGGAAGUUGGAAGAGUUCUUGCCGGUUCCGAAUGGUUUUCAGAUGAGACAUAGGACUAAAGUCUUGAGCACAUUUAAGUUUCUGUUUGCUUUAGAGAUGCUUUAUCUCUUUGACUUGAGCCUGGGGCUCAGGGGCAGAGGCUGCAGGUAAGAACUGAGGCAGGACUCUCAAACUUACCCCAGUUUUCCCCUGAAGAGGGUCAGAACUCUUCUGCUGACCUGACUGUCCCAACUUUCCUUAGUUUUACAGUCCCCACUGAUGCUCUGAGUGUGUUAGAACGACAUCAGUAUUUUGCUUGACCAGUAAUGUGUGUGGAAACAAAGUCCCUUCAGUGAACCAAACUUGCCGCGUGUCUCCCAAGGGUGCCAAAGGAAGAGAGUCCAUCCUUGCCCAGGGCUGGUCGCCACUGAGCCGCGGUCCAGCCUGUGUCGGACCAUCUCCGGUGAUGGCAGAUUUGCCGUCUGUUCCGAGGCAGUCCAUGGAGUUUUACUGCAUUAGUUACCUUUUUUUUUUUUUUUUUUUAAAUUCUUCUCAAGGCAAACAGAAUCUUUUUGGAAUGGAGCUAGAAAGUGGUGUCUUUUCUGCUGAGUUGGUGAAAGCUAGGAGCUGGAGGACAGGCCGCUGCCUUGUGCAAUCUGACCCCCAGAGAGUCCCUGGGGACUGACUGCCACCCUCCUGACUUCCUCCUGCACUCGGAUUCCUGCUUCGUGGGGGGGUGGGAGGGGGUCCUGCCUCACUUGGCCUGCACGGCCAUCCUCUUGGGUGUGAGCUAGAACUCCUUUCUUCCAUCAGCCCCCAAGAAAGCAUGAACAGUGCUGCUGGAUUUGAGCAAAGCUUCUCUCCGAAGUCAUAGAAAUGACUCAUCCAAACCACCCGUGAGCCCCAGUCUGCCACCCCCCGCUCCCCACUUCUCUUUUCUAUGGGAUCCAUCCUGACCCAGGUCACCCCACCGCUGGUCCCCAGAGAGCGCUGCCCCACUCAGGGAGAGCAUGAUUUUUCAUCCUUUGCUUAAAGAGCACGGAUGUUCCCGCAUCAGCAACCUCACUCUUAUUUGUACGGAUGGCACACUUUAUCCCAGCCGUACAUGUGAUAAGAUGAGCUGAUGAAGGGAAGAGCUCCACAGAGACCUUGCCUCUCCCACUCUUUCCAGCUGAAACACCUUGGUGAGGGUGUGCUGGGAAGGGGACUUGAGAAACGGAGUUUAUGGCAUCUUUUAGAAAAUUUAAAUCUUAAGGUUCAAUUGUACGCAGCUCAGCCCCUCACCUCAUCAUGACCCAAGCGGAAGUGUGGAUUUGGAGAUCUAAUACAUCUGUCACAAAAAUAGCUUACAGGGAUGGCCUUGUAAUGUGUCCAGAAUUGGGGUGGGUGGUACGUGCAGUAGCCAGUUCACGAUGACGAAGGUAUAAGCUCGCUUGCAGAUAACCCGCCCAUAACUGCUGGAUAAUGGUGACAGUUCUUGCUCUCUGUUGGGUGGUUUCUUUCUUUACAUGACUGUGUGUUUAAUCCCUGGUGUUGGUUCUUGAAGGGCUUGGGUGGUCAGAUUAUUGCACUUAGAGAUCAUAACCAAAAUGGCUUGGCGGGCUUUGCUGCCUUUACAGCGGAUGGAAUCUGGGGAGGUUCCUUUGGCUGGCUGGGAAGUCUAGUGUUGGCUCCUGCUGUGUCCUGUAUCUACAGACAGCAGAGGACAGAGAAAUCCAGUAGAAACUGUGACCUGGUUAUUCAUAUGAUAAACAAAUCACCGAGAGUGCAUUUAAAUACAGUCAGCAGUCCGCCCUUGGUGAAAAGCUUCAGUAGUCAAAGCCCACCUGUAUUUGCUUUAAGUCAGAUAAACCAGAUGUUGUAUUUUAGGCCGUCUCCUGCCCGCGCUAGACUUAAUCCAUAUAUGACUCCAAUCUUAAGUAAAAAAUCUCAGGUUCCCGCACUUUUUCACCAUUCUGUGGUGGUUAGGUUUUUCAUCUGGAAAAACACUCGCGUGCUGGGGGAAGCAGUCCUGUGAACUAAGGUUUCAGGCACACACCAGUUAUGUCGUUGUCCUGAACUCUUGACGUGGGUCAUCCCAUUCCGUCUUCACACCCCCUCGUGGCCCCCAGGAUGUAGGUAGGAUCAUUAUUCUCUUUAUUUAGAGGAGGAAACAGACCCAGUGAGACAGCCAGCUCAUCGUCGUCGAACAGCCUGAGCCCAGAGCCCAUGCUGGCGGCCAGUGCUCCGCUUCUCCCACGAUGCCUUGACAUUGUCCCCAAGUGAAUAUGCCCCGAAAGCCUGUUGUGUAGAGCCGUGCGGUACACGGCAAGAGGAGAGUCAGGGACAUGCAUGGGACAAAGCUGCUGGCUCUUGGAAAUAGCAGAUUAAAACCCAACCUGUGAAACGAGUCUAUGUGGUUUUUAGACCAUCACUUCUGUGGAAGAUCAAUGGGGAGGGGAGGGUUGCUAGAGAGAGAGGCCUACAAAGGUGCUUCAUUGUUGAAUUGCUAAGUCCAGCUCUUUUGUGACCCAUGGAUUGUGGCCCACCAGGCUCCUCUGUCCACGGAAUUCUCUAGGCAAGAACCCUGGAGUGGGAAAUGGCAACCCACUCCAGUAUUCUUGCGUGGAGAAUCCUAUGGACUGAGGAGCCCCGCGUGCUGCAGUCCAUGGGGACGUAAAGAGCCAGACAAGACUGAGCGACUGAACAAUUGCUAACCUGAUGUUUGAGUUUGUCCUUGUUUAAGGGAGAUAGCCUCAAGGAGAGGUUUUUUUUUUUUUUUUUUCCCCUGCUUCUUAAGCAGUAGGAGCUACAGGAACUGCGGGACAGCAGUGGAGGACACCCUGUCUCCCUUGGGAUGUUACUGGGGCGGGGGGUGUCCUACCCUUUUAUGGGGGCCCACUCAAGCAAGUUGUGGAACCAGCAAGUCUUAAAUUGUGAUGAGGGCUUCAUGGCCUGUUUCCUGUUUCCGGUGGGUCUGUUGGAGAAGGGUUGUUUUGAAAUUUAGGAACAAAUAGAGAAUUUCAGCGUCCUGUGCUACCAGCUUGACUGUAACCGACCUAGCUUCCCCUUACUACCACCAUGAUUCUUACCGUUGCUAUUUUGCUGGUGGCAGUUUGACAGUUCCAGUGAAAGCGCAGGGCAAGAAGUCUCGGUUGAAGACCAGCAUCCCAUGCUGUCUCUUUCUCGGGGUUGGAAUCAGCUUCCUGCAUCGGAAUGCUGCUCGACACCUCCCCCAGGCACUAGGCUCCAGGGAGGCGAGGAUGCGUAAGACGUGGUCCAGCCCUGAGACGCCACCAGUGCGUCACAACCGGCAGAGACACCAGGACAGGCAGUGGGAAGCAGUCGGGAAAAGAGGAAGUGAUGGGGUCCUCGGAUGUGAACGGCCAGCCACGUGGAGAAGCACGUAGGGAAGGGGAAACAGACGUCUAGGCUGAGAGGAGUGUGAGUAGAGGCCCUGGGGGACGACAGCACG